AGCUUUCUGUAUCCGUGCUGAGAUUUCGUCAGCGAUCAACCCGUUAGCACUGGUUGAUGCAACUUCCCAAAUAAGCGAAGUG
rnacentral:pre_miRNA from 1 species